UUUUAUGUUUCAAUCAGGAUUUAAGGAGUCUGGUUUGGCUUUAAUUUGCUGUAGCUGAUAACAAGCGGGCGUUAAGUCACUCUACAACUAUACAGGAUUCACCUCAGAAAGGGCCGUGGCCACAUUUAUUUACAUAUUCAUUUCUGCU